rnacentral:rRNA from 1 species
UACGUAGGGGGGAAGCGUUGUCCGGAAUCAUUGGGCGUAAAGCGCGUGUAGGCUGCUCGAUAAGUCUGCUGUGAAAGUCCAGGGCUCAACCCUGGAAAGCCGGUGGAAACUGUCGGGCUAGAGUCCGGAAGAUGCGAGUGGAAUUCCUGGGGUAGCGGUGAAAUGCGCAGAUAUCAGGAGGAACACCAAUGGCGUAGGCAGCUCGCAGGGACGGUACUGACGCUGAAACUCGAAAGCGUGGGGAGCAAACAGG